rnacentral:snRNA from 1 species
GGAUCUGAGGGCAAUCUGACAGCAACAUCUGUCACCCCAUGAAUCUCCCGGGUUCACUGGGUUGAUCUAUCUGGUUGGGCAGGUAUCCCUUCCUCCCUCGCCACUCUAUGUGCAUCCCUCCUAUACCUGCACACUUGGUCAAAGAGGACAAUCAAAAGACUGUUCUUCGGCCAGAGGUAUCUAAGUGGUUGUGCUCCCUUGCUGGAAGCUCCAAACUCUCAGGGUCCAUCCAUAGGAAAACAUAUGGUAGUCAAGUUUCCAAGACUCUAGACUCUUCCAAAUGAGACACUGUGUGUGGCAGUCUGUCUUUCUUA